rfam:Chelonia mydas contig191725, whole genome shotgun sequence.
UUACUCUGGUUUCUCUUCAGAACGUAUAAAUCUUUCGCCUUUUACUAAAGAUUUCCGUGGAGAGGAACAUUUAUGAGUUUCUACCCAAUUUUUUUUUCAGCGAAUGGAACUUACUCCAUCU